rfam:Ipomoea nil DNA, scaffold: scaffold2036, cultivar: Tokyo-kokei standard.
GGGGAGCAUCUAGAAAUUGGGAUGUUGCCUGAUACAAUCUUCCUAAAUUAAACCUCAAUUUUCAGCUUGUUGUACACGAGCUAGUUCUUCAAGUAUUUGCAUUGAGGGACAUAC